rnacentral:rRNA from 1 species
CCAAUAGCGUAUAUUAAAGUUGUUGCAGUUAAAAAGCUCGUAGUUGAAUUUCGGGAUCAAUGUUUCGGUCAUGCCGUUGGUAUGUACUGAUAUUAUUGGUUUCUCACCUUCUAAAGAACCGUAAUGCCAUUAAUUUGGUGUCACGGGGAAUUAGGACUGUUACCUUGAAAAAAUUAGAGUGUUUAAAGCAGGCUCACGCUUGAAUACAUUAGCAUGGAAUAAUGAAAUAGGACGUUCGAUCUUAUUUUGUUGGUUUCUAAGAUUGACGUAAUGAUUAAUAGGGGUAGUUGGGGGCAUUAGUAUUCAAUGGUCAGAGGUGAAAUUCUUGGAUUUAUUGAAGACUAACUACUGCGAAAGCAUUUGCCGAGGAUGUUUUCAUUAAUCAAGAACGAAAGUUAGGGGAUCGAAGACGAUCAGAUACCGUCGUAGUCUUAACCAUAAACUAUGCCGACUAGGGAUCGGAUGAUGUUAAUUUUUUAAUGACUCAUUCGGCGCCUUACG